UACGGGGGGGGCAAGCGUUGUUCGGAAUUACUGGGCGUAAAGGGUUCGUAGGUGGCCAACUAAGUCAGACGUGAAAUCCCUCAGCUUAACUGGGGAACUGCGUCUGAUACUGGUUGGCUUGAGUGCAGGAGAGGAAUGCGGAAUUCCAGGUGUAGCGGUGAAAUGCGUAGAUAUCUGGAGGAACACCGGUGGCGAAGGCGGCAUUCUGGACUGCAACUGACGCUGAGACGCGAAAGCGUGGGGAGCAAACAGG
rnacentral:rRNA from 1 species